rnacentral:misc_RNA from 1 species
UUCUGAUCAAUAAAGAGGGAAAUUUCAUCACUAAAACAAGAAAACGCAUCAAUGGAUUUCUAACAACAGAUACAAUUUUAUUGAAUCAAACAAAAUACAACUUUGUUCAUUUAAAAAACAAAAAAAUUACUAAUAAAAACUGGUGAUCAGCUGAUGUGAGACUUUCUGCAGUAAAUCAAACGAUAAGAGGCAUGCAUUAGGUAACAAAUACAACUGAGGGAUCACAGCAACACUCGUCCAAGAGACAACAGCAACAUAAAGCUGCAAGGCUGCAGAUCAAGCAAGCAACCCAUCAAGAAAAAUAUUAAACAAUCUUUUUUUAAAAGAUUAGAUCUUGCUCAGGACCACUAUGUAUGCAGUAAGGCAUGGAAGAGCUAAAAAUCUUGAAGAAUUACUGCGUACCAUCCCUCAAGAAAUCCUACUUCUCUCUGUGGUUGGGGUGGAGGAGCUGCAUAAUACUGAGGAGGAGGCAUCACUGGAGGAGGCCCUUGAUAAGCACCUGGAGGAGGAUACGGAUAACCAUACUUGGGAUCGUUCAUAUUCUGAGGAAAAUAACAAAACACAGCACCAGAAAGAGUUGAUUGACUAUGGGACUUAAGGGUUUAGGCACCAUAUAUGCAUAUAUAAAGUUAAGA